rnacentral:rRNA from 1 species
UCGAGCGGUAGAGAGAAGCUUGCUUCUCUUGAGAGCGGCGGACGGGUGAGUAAUGCCUAGGAAUCUGCCUGGUAGUGGGGGAUAACGUUCGGAAACGGACGCUAAUACCGCAUACGUCCUACGGGAGAAAGCAGGGGACCUUCGGGCCUUGCGCUAUCAGAUGAGCCUAGGUCGGAUUAGCUAGUUGGUGGGGUAAUGGCUCACCAAGGCGACGAUCCGUAACUGGUCUGAGAGGAUGAUCAGUCACACUGGAACUGAGACACGGUCCAGACUCCUACGGGAGGCAGCAGUGGGGAAUAUUGGACAAUGGGCGAAAGCCUGAUCCAGCCAUGCCGCGUGUGUGAAGAAGGUCUUCGGAUUGUAAAGCACUUUAAGUUGGGAGGAAGGGCAGUCAGUUAAUACCUUGCUGUUUUGACGUUACCGACAGAAUAAGCACCGGCUAACUCUGUG